CAGUCGCCGCGGUAAUACGAAGGGGGCUAGCGUUGUUCGGAAUUACAGGGCGUAAAGCGCACGUAGGCGGAUAUUUAAGUCAGGGGUGAAAUCCCAGAGCUCAACUCUGGAACUGCCUUUGAUACUGGGUAUCUUGAGUAUGGAAGAGGUGAGUGGAAUUCCGAGUGUAGAGGUGAAAUUCGUAGAUAUUCGGAGGAACACCGGUGGCGAAGGCGGCUCACUGGUCCAUUACUGACGCUGAGGUGCGAAAGCGUGGGGAGCAAACAGGAUUAGAUACCCGAGUAGUCCCUGUCUCUUAUAC
rnacentral:rRNA from 1 species